GGUUAAAAAGCUCGUAGUUGGAUUUCUGCUGAGGACGACUGGUCCGCCCCCUGGGUGAGUAUCUGGUUCGGCCUGGGCAUCUUCUUGGGGAACGUAUCUGCACUUGAUUGUGUGGUGCGGUAUCCAGGACUUUUACUUUGAGGAAAUUAGAGUGUUUCAAGCAGGCCCGCGCCUUGAAUACAUUAGCAUGGAAUAAUAAUAUAGGACCUUGGUACUAUUUUGUUGGUUUCUAGAACUAAGGUAAUGAUUAAUAGGGACAAUUGGGGGCAUUCGUAUUAACGCGUCAGAGGUGGAAAUCUUAGAUUGCGUUACGACGAACUACUGCGAAAGCAUUUGCCAAGGAUGUUUUCAUUGAUCAAGAACGAAAGUAUGGGGAUCGAAGACGCUUAGAUACCGUCGUAGUCUAUACCAUAAACUAUGCCAACUAGAGAUUGGAGGUCGUUCUCUUUAUGACUCCUUCAGCACCUUAUGAGAAAUCAAAGUCUUUGGGUUCCGGGGGGAGUAUGGUCGCAAGGCUGAAACUUAAAGGAAUUGACGGAAGGGCACCACCAGGAGUGGAGCCUGCGGCUUAAUUUGACUCAACACGGGAAAACUUACCAGGUCCAGACAUAGUAAGGAUUGACAGAUUGAUAGCUCUUUCU
rnacentral:rRNA from 1 species